ACUGGGUGAAGGCGGGUUUGGGUCAGUUUUCAAAGGCACUUUACCAAACUCCAGAGCUAUAGCAGUUAAAAGGUUGAAGAAUUUGAAGCAGGGAGAGAAGCAGUUCCGCGCAGAGGUGAGCACAAUCGGGCAAAUUCAACAUAUCAACCUUGUUCGCCUUCAAGGAUUCUGCAUAGAAGGUGAAAAAAGACUUUUGGUGUUUGAUUACAUGAAGAAUGGUUCGCUUGAAAAUCACUUGUUUCGCCAAAAUUCCAAUGUUUUUCUAGAAUGGAAAGCAAGGUACAACAUCAUGAUCGGAACUGCUAGAGGGUUGCAUUAUCUCCACGAAAAGUGCAGGGAUUGUAUCAUACAUUGUGAUAUUAAGCCUGAUAACAUUUUGUUGGAUGAUGAGUUUAAUGCGAAAGUUGCUGAUUUCGGCCUAGCCAAGCUUCUUGGCCGAGAGUUUAGCCGAGUCUUGACAACAAUAAGAGGAACACGAGGAUAUCUUGCACCAGAAUGGAUUUCGGGUGAGGCCAUCACUGUAAAAGCAGAUGUUUUUAGCUACGGAAAGCUUUUGUUUGAGAUCAUAUCAGGGAGGAGAAAUAUGGAGUUGUUAGAUGAUGGUGACUAUUUCCCGGCUCUAGUUGCAAAGAAAUUAAGUGAAGGAGAAGAAGCGGUAAUGCAAUUCUUGGAUCAAAAAUUGCAAGGUGAAGCAGAUCCAAGCGAAGUGCUUAGAGCCUGCAGAGUGGCUUGUUGGUGCAUUCAAGCUGAUGAGAAGAAUAGACCAAGUAUGGGGCUUGUGAUUCAGUUUCUAGAGGGAAUUAUAGAAGUUGAGAUUCCUCCAUUUCCUCGGUUUCUCCAUGGUUUUACAAAGGAUACUGCAGAUCACUCCAUAAUUUACGAUCAAUGGACAUCUGAAACAACUUCAUCUAGUAGAUAGAAACAUGUUUUUUAUUUGUUGUUCCAUUCUGGCAAAGACCACGAAUGGGGAUAAUCAUUCUGCUCAACAAAAUUUCUGAAGUCAAGAUUCCUCCACUUCCACGGUGUCCUCAACACUUCAGUGAUUAGUAUCAACCCGUGAUUUAAGAGCACUACACAUUCGACACAACUUCAUCCAGUUGUUAGCUAUGUGUUUGUGUUCGUUCUAUUUUAGAGCAAGUUUUUUGUACUCCAAUGACAAUGACAGUUUAAGCACUUAUUUUGGCAACACAAAAACCUCGAAAGAUAUUUCCUAAUGGUUGCGCGAACACACACACAUAAAACUUGAAGAUAAUAAUAAAAGGAAACAUCCCAAUAUUCAUAAUGAUUACCAGAUAUCAUAUUUUGCUGACUACAUCUGCUAUUUAUACAAGAGUUUACCGAACUUCUCAAAAGAUAUAUUAGUAGUGAGUACAGAGAAUUUAGCGGCAUACCUAAAGUGCACUCUCUUGUCCAUUCAUCUCUUGCAAAACCACCACAACCAGGAGUGGAAAGAGUAAUCUUGAAAACAUCUGUGAGGGUAAAAAAAAAUUGCAUUACAAAUCAGCAAGGUCUAGAUUAAAAAGUGCAAUUAAACUCAAACACGAGAAAAUAAAUGUCAUGCACAUUAACAAAAGAUUAUUUACCACAAUUAACAUCAAGACAAAGCAAAGAGAUUUGUUGAUUGGUUGUCAAGUCCAAAAUGAUGUACCUUUUAGUCAUCUCGUGGCCUUGAAAAACAAAACCCCACUUACUUCGACUAACAUGCAUCUCAGUUGAAGUAUAUACCUAAUACCUGGUUUUCAAGUUUAGCACAACUUCAAAAAUCAUCUUCGUAUCUAGGGCUCUUAAUCAAAUUUUGGGGGGAUUACCCGUACUAUAAAUUGUGUCAAGACAUCCCAAGUGCUCAUUGUCUUACUUCCCUGAGUUCCCUUGAUUUUUGAAGAAAACCCUCCCCGUCCCUAAUUCUUUUGACUCAGGAUCUUAAACAGAAUUUUGGGUAUUCAAUUAUAAUAUUAAGUUAUAUCACAAAUCUGUUGAUAAUCAAUCAAAAAUUAAAAUUAUGUUUGAAAAUUCGAUGUUGUUCAAUUAAUAUUACUUGCUUUUGACCUGUGCGAAGCACGAGCGAUUAUAUAUUUCGUAAUUUAUUAUUUAUAAUUUAAAUUUUAAUAUUAUUUGGGAAUUGAUAAAUAAGCUCCAUAUCUUACUAUUUAAGCUCCAAUUUUAAAAUUUAUACCAUAUUUACCCAUACUUUCUGCACAUGUUUCCCUCAUAUUGUAGGUGUUAAUGCAUGAAAAAAUAGAAUUGGAGCUUAAAUAGUAACAUUUGGAGCUUAUUUAUCAAUUCCCUUAUUUUAUUAGUAUUUUAGUAUUAAUGGAUUGAAUUUUAAUUAAAUUGUAUUAUUCAACUGACUAUAUAUAUAUAUAGUACAUUUAAUCCGAAUUUAAUACACGUAGAUUUAAAAAUAAAAAAAUCAGAAAAUUCAAAUAUUUUCCAAACGUAGGCGAUCGUGUAAUCAUCAAUAUAUAUAUAUAAAGGAGGAUGCGGGCGUCUCUAGGAUGGCUCGAUUCAGUAUUCUGAUUUUUCUUGAAUUUCAGAGAGAAAAAAUAUAUUUAUAAUUCAAAAAAUCAGGUUCCAGAAUUCUAAAGGUAAUACAAUUCUUUUCUUAUCGGAUUCCAAAGGUAAUACACUUCUUUUUUAUCGAAUUUUAAAGGUAAUACAAUUCUUUUUUAUCGAAUUCUAAAAGUAAUAAAAUUCUUUAUAUAUUUAUAUAUUGAAGAUUUAUAACAUAACUAAAAUUUUAUCUUCAAUUUUAUUUUAUUAAAGUUUCCACAUAAAUUUGUAUCAAAUAUGUAUACAAACUUAUUUUUUCGCAGGGCCCGUCAUUCUUCCUUUUUCUACUAAUAUUGUAAUUUUGUCUACUUCAUAAUGUAGAUUGAGGCAUGUGAUCCUGCAAGCGGUUGACUUUAUUACUAUAAUGAAAAGUCUGGGAUAAGUCAAUGGGAAAGACCUGUUGAUUCUUCUUUGAACUUGGAACCACCAGCUUCUUCGCCUGUUCCUGCCGAUUGGCAAGUGCUAUUUGAUGAAACAACUGGUAUGUGAUGCACCUGGUCAGUUUUAUUGGAAUAUGAAUUUUAGAUAAUCUUUAUGUGAGAAAAUAUUGAUUGAAGAGACUUAAGUUUGCAGCAAGCAUAGUCUAAAAUCACCACCUGUUCCUACUCUACUUCUAAUUUCUAGAUGGAUAUAACUUGCUCUGACUUGGCACCGGAGAUCACCUGCCACCGAUUGCUCAACAUUAUAAAACACCCGUAAGUUUUCUGCUCAUAAUAAUCUCUAUGUUUUUCUCAAUCAAUUUAAAGGUUUGUUGAAUGUUGGUUACUGCAAGCUGUUUGUGUAAUUGUCUAGGUUAGCUUAAUGUCUAGGUUAGCUUAAUAUUGAUUAUUUCCGGCCUCUGGGAAUCGAUUCUACAAGACAGUUUAACAGAAGUUUGGAACAAAGUGAGGAUAUUAUUUGUUAAAAAGAGAGUUAUUUAUCUGAAAUACAUGAUAUGUUUAGUUCCUGCGAUAACUCUAGCACACAUGUAUUCAAACACUAAAACAGGGAUACCACAGGCCAUACCAGAGGCCUCUCUAUUUGUGUGAUUCUGUAAGUCAGCAAAAUCAAGUUUUUAUUAACCUCGAAAAGAUAUUUACUAAAGACCGAGAUGAAUGUCGUAAAGAGGUAAAACCAUAUAGAACUAUGGUCCAUGUAGCUGCUAUCUAUUGAUAAUAACUACUUACACAAUAGCACUCUAUUUAAAAACUGAAAGGGACUAAGGAACCCGGCCUCCUAUUAUCCAGACACCCACUUACAGCUUCAAAUCUAAAGCAUUGAUCAUUUAUUUUUUUGUAUAAGCAUAUCCCUGUAUAUAAUCUUUGUCUACAAAAUAAUGAAUGUACACAAAAGCUGGUCAGAAGUCUCAAGCCGUAUAAAUGGAUGACAUCCUUAUCUCAUAAGGUAACCAACAAACGCUUUUCUGAGUUGAAAAGUUUCCGACCCACCUAAUCAAUCUUUCCAGUUUGCCUUUGCGCCUUGCAACAACCGUUCUUCCUUCACUUAAUCCCUGAGAGUUCAGUAAAAGUGUGAGCAACCUUAUUAGACUUCUAAAUUAUGUAUCACAAUCUCAAAGCUGAUGUUUAAAAUAAAAAUAACUAGAUAGAAUCUUAUGUACAUAUUAUAUUAGGCUUUAUUUACAUUAUGUUCUUUAACAAUUUAUUCAACAGUUUAAUCCCCAAUGUCCGUUACUUGGUCAGUGAUGUAUCUGAUUAAUCUGUCAUACCAAUGCUGGCAUAUUAAGAAAAGAAGAUCCUCUACUAAUGAUGCUCACAACUGCAGAAACUGAGCAAAUACAACACUUCAGACAGGGCUCUGCCAUGUGUCAGUUUUUAAUUAUUCUGAACUUUUAAGGUUUAAAAACUAAAUGCUGCAUCAUGUACUCAUAAUAAAUAUUGUAUUUUGACAUGCCCAUCGUGCCAUGUUGUCAUUCAUGUUGUGUUGUGAAAUUGCAAUAGAUCUUCCUGUUAUUCGAUUAUAUUGCUUGCUCAGUUAUGAUCAGUGUUACAGUAUGGCAGAGAAUUUUUCUGACCAUAUUUUUAGCUUAUUUUUUACAGAAUACGGAAUUUUUACAUUCAACUAUGGAUGGAUAUGAUAUCUCCACACAAACGCAACAUUUGCGAAGACAUAUCUCAGCUUUAGCACGCCAAGAAAGGAUUCUUAAAAUGCAGAUUAAGAAGCAUCCAUCACGUGCCAAUCAUAACAAAACGCUCAUAGAGAAGAAGAUAUGCAAGCAUUCACGAUUUAGACGGAAAAUUUCACUCAUCCAGAAUAGAUUCAAAAAUAACCUGCAACAACGCAUCAGUUCCAUGGAUAUAAUUGUCAAAUACUACACACGUACAAUGAGGGCAAUGAUUCUUCAGACUCCUACUGAAUCAUUUGAAAGAAAUGGUAAAGUCAACAAACUAUAAAUUUCUUUUCAGUUGCAAGCUUAUAUAUUAACAUAAAAAAUUGUAUAAUUCUAGAAAAUAAUUGUAAUAAAAAUAAUUAUAAAUAAAUAUCAGCAUACAUGAGCAGAACAUAUAUUUAACUAUCCUCUCCAAAUUUUUAACAGAUGAUAUUAGUCAAAAGUCUACCCCAAUGGAAGUGAAUUCUAUACGGAUUGAAGCAAAUCCAUCCAGGACUGCAAAUAGAUUCAAUGGUCAGUUUUAAACAAGUUCUGUUGGUAUUGUAGUUAUUUAUAAAUUUCUUUUCGGUUGCAAGCUUAUAUGUGAACAUAUCUUUGUAUAAUUUUAGAAACUAAUAGUCAUAAAAAUAACUAUAAAUGAAUAUAAACAUACGUGAUUAGAACGUGUAUUAAAAUAUCCUCUUUAAAUUUAUUGCAGAAAAUAUUGGACAAAAUUCUACCCAAAGGGAACUGGAGUCUACACUACCGAAAGCAAAUACAUCCAGGACUGCCCCUAGAUUCAAUGGUCAGUUUUAAAUAAUAAUUCUAGAAAAUAAUAGUAUAAUAAAAAUAACUAUAAACAAAUAUCAGCAUACAGGAGUAGGACAUGUAUUUAACAAUCCUCUUCAAAUUUUUAACAGAUGAUAUUGGACAAAAUUCUACCCCAAUGGAAGUGGAUUCUAUACUGCCUGAAGCAAAUCCAUCUAUGACUGCAAAUAGAUUCAAUGGUCAGUUUUAAACAAGUUCUGUUGGUAUUAUAAUUAUUUAUAAAUUUCUUUUCGGUUGCAAGCUUAUAUGUGAAUAUAUCUUUGUAUAAUUUUAGAAACUAAUAGUCACAAAAAUAACUAUAAAUGAAUAUAAACAUACAUGAUUAGAACGUGUAUUUAAGUAUCCUCUUUAAAUUUAUUGCAGAAAAUAUUGGACAAAAUUCUACCCAAAUGGAACUGGAAUCUACACUACUGGAAGCAGAUACAUCCAGGACUGCACAUAGAUUCAAUGGUCAGUUUAAACAAGUUUUUUAACCGGUCUUUGCGGCCAUUUAUUAUAGUUAUUGAAUGUAUGCUCUUGCUUCUGUAUCACAUAUAGUACCCAAUAUUAUUAAAUGUAAUAUAAAAAUAUUGAUGUAUCUACAAGUUUUUUUGUAAUUCAAUUUGUAGUCUAAUUUAAUUAAGUAUCCUCUUUAAAUUUAUUGCAGAAAAUAUUGGACGAAAUUCUACCCAAAUGGAACUGGAGUCUACACUACCGGAAGCAGAUACAUCCGAGACUGCACAUAGAUUCAAUGGUCAGUUUAAACAAGUUUUUUAACCGGUCUUUGCAGCCAUUUAUUAUAGUUAUUGAAUGUAUGCUCUUGCUUCUGUAUCACAUAUAGUACCCAAUAUUAUUAAAUGUAAUAUAAAAAUAUUGAUGUAUCUACAAGUUUUUUUGUAAUUCAAUUUGUAGGCUAAUUUAAUUAAGUAUCCUCUUUAAAUUUAUUGCAGAAAAUAUUGGACAAAAUUCUACCCAAAUGGAACUGGAGUCUACACUACCGGAAGCAAAUACAUCCGAGACUGCACAUAGAUUCAAUGGUCAGUUUAAACAAGUUUUUUAACCGGUCUUUGCAGCCAUUUAUUAUAGUUAUUGAAUGUAUGCUCUUGAUUCUAUAUCACAUAUAGUACCCAAUAUUAUUAAAUGUAAUAUAAAAAUACUGAUGUAUCUACAAGUUUUUUUGUAAUUCAAUUUGUAGGCUAAUUUAAUUAACAUGUACUCAUAAUAUUCUCAUUCCAUCAAUCAACAGGGGUUUACAAAAAGCCAUGGAACUUUGGACCACCUACAUAUGUAUGCACAUAUUGUGGUGCCAUGUUAUGGUAUGAAGAACGGAUUGAAGAAACACGCACUCAUUUACAACCAAAGUUUACAUUUUGUUGCAUGGAAGGACGUGUGCAGAUACCAUUACUUAGGCAACCACCAGAAUUACUCAAGUACUUGCAAUCACCUGAAUCUGGAAAGAAGGGAAUCAAAUUCAUGGAAAACAUAAGGGCUUAUAACUGCAUGUUUGCAAUGACAUCUUUGGGAGUCCGAGUCGACAGUGCUAUAAAUAGAAGGAGAGGUCCGUUUGUGUUUCGAGCAAGUGGUGUAAAUAUUCAUUUUAUUGGUUCAUUAAUCCCGGAAAAAGAUCAACGACCAAAAUAUGCACAGCUCUAUAUCUACGACACUGAAAAUGAAGUUAGAAAUAGAAUAGCAACAAUGCAAAAGAAUGGUCCCAAUGAAGACAUUGAUGAAGAAAUUGUCUCUCAAAUAUCUAGAAUGCUGGAUGAAAAAAAUCAUUUGGUUGAAUCCUUCAGGAAGGCUCGAGACAGAUAUAAAAAUGGACCAGAAACUUCCUUUCAAUUGCGAAUUCCUGGCAGAGCGGCUCAAACUGAUUUUGAUCUAAAUUAUACUGUAAUAUUCAAUUUUAUCAUAAAAAUAAAAAUUAUGGAUUAAUAUUGUUUUUGACGGGAGGGCAGUUCGAACUAAUUUUAUUAUUAGUAUUGUGUUUGACAGGAUGACCAUUUCAAAAGAAUUUUAUACUGAUUAUAAUAUUUUUUUAUUGGUGUGUUUGACCAAAAGAUGACUCAAAAUAAUUUUUAUGCUAUUAUAAUAUUAAUUCGCAUCAAAAUUUAUAACGCCGGCGCGAAGCGCGGCUUUAUUCACUAGUACAUUUAAAAGGUUCAAUAAUCUAAUCAAUCGAAUUUCAAACAUAAUUUUGUAAUUUUGGUUUUUUUUACAACAAUAACUUUUAAGAUUCGAGUUAGAAAGAGUUAUGUAAUGGUUCGUGUUUAUAUUGAAAUAGAACACCUUAAAGUUAAAAAGAUUUAUCUGAAGAUUCUUGUUAAAAAAAGAUAUUCAAAAUUAUAGAUUUAUAAUUUUAUUUAUAACAUCAUUAUAAUUUUUUUAAUGAAAUAUUAUAUGAUAAUGUAUUGUUAUGAGUGUUUUUAGUAUUUGAAACUGUUUAACGAUAUCAUACUAAUAAACUUCACAUUUGUAGAUUUGUAGUACCAAAAGGAGAGUACUAAAUCAAAAAAUAUAUCUAAAAUCUUGGACUACAAACUAUACCAUGUUGACUUAUUAUAGUAUAGUAUAGAUUUAAAAUCCAUUAAAAUGGUGCUUAAAUGCUGAUUCAUUGAUAUUCAAUUAGAAUUGUUUAAAAUCCAUUAAAAUUUCAUAACAUUCAAAUACUUAUAGGUAUUUUUAAACUUAAUAAAAUGAUGAAUUUUAUAGAAUUGUUUAGAGUAUUUUAAGAUAUUUUAAAUCUCAUCAUAAUCCUUGAAAUUUUAAAACAUUGUGCUUAAAUUCUAAAUUAUUUGCAUUAAUCCUACAAUAUCUUAUUUAGAAUUCGCUUAGAACGAAAUCAAAUACAUACCAUUAAAAUUCAUAAAAUAUAUUAAAUAUAUUAAAAUUCCGGUUCCAUGCCCCUGUAUUACUUAUCAUGCUAGUAUAACUUAGUGGAAAUUACUAUCGCCGCAUUUUAUAUGGAAUUUCAUAAAAUUGUCCAACUUUUCAAGAUUAGUUUAAUUUUUGUAUUCUAAAAUAAUGAUGUUUGUUAAUUUUUUUAAAGGAUGGUCAGAUUUUAUAUUCAUUUAAUGAAAGAGUGGCUAUUUAUCAGGUUACAAAUUGACAUGAGUCAUUCCUUUAAAAGACAAAAAUAAAAUUUGACCAUCAAUUUAUGAAUUUAAAAUUUCAAUCACUUUUUUGAAAUUCAGUGAAAAAUAUAGUUAUCACUCAGUAUUUUAAUAAAAUAUCUUAUGAAAUUAUAUUCUUCACUAUUUGUUCGAUAUAUAAUUAUAAAUAAAUUAUCAAUAUAAACAAAUUUGAACGGUAAAAAUAUCCGCCAAAAUCAGACAGCUAUGAGGAUGUUUGGUGAGACUUAUUAUAAACUCACCUUUUGGACUUCUAAGUGAAAAUAGCUUAUUUGUAUCAUUCGUAUAACGAAUACAUAAACUAAUUUCUGAUUUAUAAUUUAGUAUUUGAUGGGUUGAAAAUUUUAACCUUUUUUAAUAACCUAUUCCACUUUGUAUCUAUAAAUAUGUAUAGGACCACUUUAAAAAAAUAAUUUAUAAUAAUUAAUUAUUGCAUUAAUAAUUUAUUAUAUCUCAAUAAAUUAUAAAUAUCAAAAAUUUUUGUUAACUUCCAAAAAUUAUCUAUAAUUCUCUUCGAACUACUUGGGGGCUAGAUUAGUCUACGGUCUACCAUCUACGUGUGGAAACAAGGCACUAGUGAUGAAUUGGAGGCAUAAAAUUCAAAUGUGGAGCUUUCUUGUGGUGUGCGCGCGGAGAAGUAUGAAAAUGUUUAUUAAAGGGCCAAACUUUGGUAAGUUUAAAAUAAUUAUUUUUUGCUUUAAGUAUAAAAAAUAAAUAAAAGUCAGAAUCAAGUUAAUGUUUAUAAAUAAUUAAAUUAUUUAGGAAAUAAUCAGAAGUCCUGAAACAAAGUCUCUAGUAAUCCUAACUUCUUUUGAGUGCUUCUUUAUUUUUUAUACAAACGUGCAAAUGAGUGUUUCCAAUUUAUAAAUCCAGAAGUCGGCUUAUAAUUGUCAGCCAAACACCACCUAAAUAUUAUUCUUUUGUAAGUUAAUUUGUGAUUUAUGAAACAUAAUGCGAGAAGUUCAAAAUUCUAACUCUUUUAGUAAUUUAUUUUUAUUUUUGAAAAUUUGAGUUUACAAAUAUGUAAAGAAUCAUUUUAAAAGAUAAUUUAUCACUUUUUAUUAUUAUAUUAAAAAUAUUUAUAUUCUAUAAAUUAAAAAUAUCAAAAAUUGUACAUACAAAUAAAUUAAAAUAAUUUUUAACUUAUAAAGAACUCCUAAAUUAUAAAUAAUUAAUUAUUUUCAAGUAAAUCAAACCGCCCUAAUUCACUCCAAAAGUUCCAAGUCAACAAGGAGUUUAAGUUCCCGGCCUUUAUACGUUGGAAAUGAGUUCCUUCACUUUUAUAUACUACCACAUUUUCUUGCGAUCAUACAUAUUCUCUUCUCGCAGGUAAGGCAUUAAUGACUUUUCUACGCUGCUCUGGUGUAUGUUUUCUUACAAGCAGGAGACCUCAGAUGGGCUUGACCAAAAAAACAACUCUGAAUCUACUUGUUUUGCUCCUUUCUGUCCUUUGCUUUGAACCUCAUCUUCAUGAAGGAGCCGAUGUCAUUGGCAUCGGUCAGACUCUCUCCGGCAACCAAACGAUAUCCUCUAAAGGUGAGACAUUUGAACUAGGUUUCUUCACACCAGGUCAGUCCAAAAAAUAUUAUAUUGGUAUAUGGUAUAAGAAUUUUGGUAAUAAAACUGUUGUGUGGGUAGCAAAUAGAAACCACCCUGUUUUCAAUCCUUAUGAUUCUCAACUGAAACUAUUCCCAAAUGGAAAUCUUGCUCUGUUGAAUGACUCAAGAAUCCAAAUUUGGUCCUCGAAUUCUACCGUGAAAAGAUAUAAUUCAUCUGUAGCGAUCCUUCUUGACAGUGGAAAUUUUGUUAUACGAGAUAAUCAAGAUUCCUCUGAUAUUAUAUGGCAAAGUUUCGAUUACCCAACAGACACCUGGCUUCCGGGUGGUAAAAUUGGCUAUAACUUCAAUAUAAAAAAGGAAAAGAUUUAUUUAACUUCGUGGCGAAAUGCUGAAGAUCCUGCCCCUGGUCGUUACUCACUUGAGCUGAACUCAGGUGCACUCGGGGUUCAAGAUUAUAAACUUUAUGGCGAUAUGACAUCUUCUUCAGGUGCAUGGAGAGGAUUGGAUUAUGAGUUAUUUCCCGAUUUUAUCUCAAAUUUUACGUAUACUUCGGACGCUAAUGAGAACGUGUUCACGUAUGAAGUUGCUAUUCCAAAAAGAGUCACGCGAUUUAUGAUCGACACGGAAGGGAAAGUUAAGCAGUUCGUGUGUCGGGGUGAUUUCCCGGCAUGUCACUGGGAUCUGCUUUGGGACUGGCCAAACACAAAGUGUGAUGUUUUGUACUUUUGUGGUACUUUUGAAACAUGCAAUGAGGGGAAAGUGUUUCCAUGUGAUUGUUUGCCAGGAUAUGAAAGAGUGUGGGAUGGAGAUUAUAGUAGCUGCAUUAGGAAAUCCCGUCUAGAAUGUGGUGUUGGAGGAGGAAGUGAGGACACAUUUUUAUCUAUUAUUGUGCAAUAUCCAUCCUCAUCAUCUACAAAAUACUCACACUUUUUGUAUGUUAAGAGUGAUGAAGAAUGCGAGUCUGCCUGUUUGAGGACUUGUACAUGCACCGGCUACUACUACGUAUCAGACGGUAAAUGUGUGAUUAUGAAUGACGAGGUUUACAAUAUCAAAUUGCCUUCUGUUGAUAUGUAUGGAAUUUCUUAUAGAGUUCGGAUUGCAAAGUCUGGAAAAGCAAGCAAGACUAGUGUUUGGAUUGUUGUAGCAGCUUCAGGGGGGUUCAUUAUUUUGCUUGCUGCAGUAAUAUUAUAUAUCUUGCAGCAGUGGAAACGAAAAAUGGGAAUAUAUGAUGGGGCAGCAGAGGAUUUGAUGGUGUUCAAGUACAAGUAUAUCAGAAAAUCAACCAAGAACUUCUCAGAAAAGCUGGGGGAAGGCGGGUUUGGGUCAGUUUUGAAAGGCACUUUACCAAACUCCAAAGCUAUAGCAGUUAAAAUGCUAAAGAAUUUGAAGCAGGGAGAGAAGCAGUUCCGUGCAGAGGUGAGCAAAAUCGGGCAAAUUCAACAUAUCAACCUUGUUCGCCUUCAAGGAUUCUGCAUACAAGGUGAAAAAAGACUUUUGGUGUUUGAUUACAUGAAGAAUGGUUCGCUUGAAAAUCACUUGUUUCGCCAA
rnacentral:lncRNA from 1 species